rnacentral:lncRNA from 1 species
CUCGAUUCCCAUGUGGUAAUUUCUAAGGCCCAGUUUAAAGAUGGGUUGAUACCCUCCAGUGGCAGAGAGGAGAAUUUCUAAUUGUUUCUGUUCUGCAUUAUGGAUUAAUUUCUGUACUCUCUUCCUCAAUGUACAAGUAAGGUGACAGUUAUAUAAAAUCAUACCCAAUACAAUCAGGACUAUAAUAACAAGAGGAUAGAAGAAUGAUUUCAUUAUCUGGGAUCCAGUAGGGGACCAACCAGUAAAGCAUCGUACCAAUGAUGGGCUAAAUCAUUCUGAAUUUGUGAACUCACCUUAA